rnacentral:rRNA from 1 species
UACGGGGGGAGCAAGCGUUGUUCGGAUUUACUGGGCGUAAAGGGCGCGUAGGCGGCCUCCGCAAGUCAGUUGUGAAAUCUCCGAGCUUAACUCGGAAAGGUCAACUGAUACUGCGGGGCUAGAGUGCGGAAGGGGCAACUGGAAUUCUUGGUGUAGCGGUGAAAUGCGCAGAUAUCAGGAGGAACACCGGUGACGAAGGCGGUUCUCUGGGCAUUACCUGACGCUGAGGAGCGAAAGUGUGGGGAGCGAACAGG